rnacentral:rRNA from 1 species
GUGGAUUAGAUACCCUGGUAGUCCACGCCGUAAACGAUGGAUACUAGCUGUUGGAGGUAUCGACCCCUUCAGUAGCGAAGCUAACGCGUUAAGUAUCCCGCCUGUGGAGUACGGUCGCAAGACUAAAACAUAAAGGAAUUGACGGGGACCCGCACAAGCGGUGGAUCAUGUUCUUUAAUUCGAUGCUAAACGAAGAACCUUACCAGGGCUUGACAUCCAGGGAAGCACUACGAAAGUAGAGUGUGCCUUUUGGAACCCUGUGACAGAUGAUGCACGGCCGUCGUCAACU